rnacentral:misc_RNA from 1 species
CUUGAUAUCCACUGUGGAAUUCGCCCUUUGGCUACGCGAGCGCAUGAGCUGUUUUGGACACGUGUCUGCUGGUAGGUCCCCCGUCUUUGUGCGGCCGACUACUGGCGCCGUGUCUUGUCAUUCGUGUGAGUUAUCUUACUUUGCCUUUCAAGUGCUUGCGUGAUGUUACCUGACCUAUGGGUAUUGGUGCCUCAUACAUGGUUGCCUCGCGGUGGACGCCUUUGGGUGCGCUGCUGCGGCCAUAUGGCGAUUGCGGCAUUGCCUCGUGGUGCUGGCAUGUUUUUGUGCCUAGUUGCUAUCAUGGCAGUCUUGCUCUCGCUUGUUGGUUUUGGAUGUUGCUCAUGAUAUAGCUCGUGGUCCUUCUGGUUGCCGCGAUCUAACACUGCAAAUGCUCUCUGAAUAUGACGACAACCGGAACAUGUGGUGCCUCUACCUCUCCACAGUUAGUGGUAGGAUACGCAACAUACUGUGCCGACCCUCAUAAAGUAGGACGAGCUUGGCCCGCUUAACUGCGACAACUGGUCCGGCUGUUUACCUCUGUCUUGCCACGCAAGUGGCGGCGGGUGGACGACUACCGGCGUUGGAAGUCAAAGAGGACGUGCUACCUGGUUGAUCCUGCCAGUAGUCAUAUGCUUGUCUAAGGGCGAAUUCCACAUU